rnacentral:rRNA from 1 species
UACGUAGGGGGCAAGCGUUGUCCGGAUUUAUUGGGCGUAAAGAGCGUGUAGGCGGCCAGACAGGUCAGCUGUGAAAACUCGAGGCUCAACCUCGAGACGUCGGUUGAAACCGUCUGGCUAGAGUCCGGAAGAGGAGAGUGGAAUUCCCGGUGUAGCGGUGAAAUGCGCAGAUAUCGGGAAGAACACCCGUGGCGAAGGCGGGUCUCUGGGCAGUAACUGACGCUGAGGAGCGAAAGCGUGGGGAGCGAACAGG